CACUAUCAUCAUCACUAUCAUCGUCAUUAUCAUCAUCAUUAUCAUCAUCAUUAUCAUCAUCAUUAUCAUUAUCAUCAUUACAUCAUCAUUAUUAUCAUCAUCAACAUCAGUAUCAUCAUCAUAUAAUUGUCUUGCAUUAAUAGAAACCAAUUAACACCAAUAAACACAAAUUGAAUUACUCAAUACAAUUUAACUAAUUAUUACAAUUUACAAACAACGGAUUACAAUAAAUUACAUUUUUUUGAUAAAUACUAAUUCACUAUAAUUUGAAAUUAGCUUGUCUUCAUAUAUGUCGCUAUGUUCCUGAAAUAAAAAUAAGAAGCGUUAAUAAGUAUGUGUACAAGACAUUCGGUAAUUUUUUACAAUAGAGUUUUUGCCGAAUUCUGAUAUUUCUUUGCAGCAGUCUUAAUAAAUAUUUUUAUUGUUACUACAACAGUAAUCACAGUAAAGUAGGGAGUCCGAAAAUAUGCAAUUUAACCUAUGAAAUUUAAUCUAUGUUUUUAACUAUUGUUUUCCAACGUAAAUUAUCGAAGUUUCUCCGUGUGGCAUAUUUGUUUCAAUUUAUGUGAUUGUUAAACUUUACAUAACAGAUUUUCGCACUGAGUAAGUUACUGAUCUUGUAAUCACGUUAUGUUAUUUAAAACUUUUAAUUAACUCGUUUAAUGUUUAACUCGUCUAACUCGUUUUGAUCGUCGCAUAUUCACAAAAAAGAUUAGAGCUUCAAAACAGUAUCUUAGCAAAGCAUUGUCUAAGCAUAUCUGUGCUCGUGUCCAUUACAUCUUCACCUUUCUAAAUAGAUAAGUCUACAAUAUACAAAAAUAAUAAAUACUGAAAAGAUUAGUGAGAUCCCUAUACAAGGUAACACGUAUCAUUAAUGUAAUUCUGCAUGCAAUAUUGCAUUACUGUACAGAGUUCGCCAAAAGUCCCGACAUCCCUGAUUUUUUCGAAGGAAAAAACGUCGGAUAGAAAAAUGACUCCUACAAAAGUUUCAGCAUUUUGAAUAUUGAACGUGAUUGUAACUUUAAACCUUGAAUUUGACCUUGAGAUUUACUUUUAAGGUCAUUUGAAGGUCAACUUGAAAAUUUUGUAAUGGGAACCCCUGUUUUUGAUCCAGGAUUCGGAAAAAGUGUAAAAUUUCCUGUUCGAUCAAGAUACGUUAUCAAGUUAGAGAUGAAAGUAACUUUUAAAAGUCACUUGAAGAUCAAAUAUCUCAUUGACUUAAAACACAUCGUGUUAAGGUUUUUUAAAUCCCAUUUUAGAAUUCAUUUGAAGAAAUUUUAAGUUGAUUUUCAAAUAGCCUUGAAAGUCGAUCCCAAGAUAAAGUUCAAGGUUACCAUCACGUUCAAAAAAAUAUUCAAAAUACUAAAACUUUUGUAAAAGUCAAUUUUUUAUAAGAUGUUAAAAAUCCUCUUUAAAAAAAUCAGGAUUCUCGGGACUUUUGGCGAAACCUGUAUAUUCAAACACACCUAUUUCUAAUGAAUGUAUAAUUUAAUUUUGGUCAAUUUGAAUAUUACAUAUUACUCAUAAAACCUUUCACAAAUGAUUAUAAUUUUGUUAUGAUUUUGUUAUGAUAUUAAUUGUUUUAUUUUUAUUUUCAGGCCGUUUAUACACGGAAAAAAACGAUUUCACGAUCGCAGCUAAUCGUGAAUUAGCUGAAAAUAUAUUACUACUGCAGCUAAACAUCUGCUGCAGUUGCUAACGGUAUAGCUACCACAGCUAAUACACAGAAUGUCUCAGAAUAUCCAUGUCUCACUACGCGAUAGGGACGUAGAACAUAUCAAAGUGAAUAAAAAAGACUCAUACUGUUUCUCGAUAUCUGUUAUAAUUAACGAGUUAUUCGAUGGUAAAGAUAUCAGGUUUUAAGCAUUAAGCGACAAUUGAUGUGCGCCUCCGCAUAUGUCGCCUAUAUGCUUAAUACUUGAUAUCUUUACCUUCGAAUAACUCAUUAAUUAUAAAAGAUAUCGAGAAACAGUACAGGAUUGUUUUAUUCACCUCGAUAUGUUCUACACCUAUCCCUAUAUUCUAUCGUAGUGAGGCAUGAAUGUCCUAAUAUAUGAAUACUUAAACGUUUAACUACGAUAAACAUAUACCCAGAUAACCAAACCUGAACAAGUAAAUCUCAUAAACAAACUUUAUUGCUAGAUUUUUAUUCCAAAUAAGUAACAAAUUUAUACAAAUUCAGUUAAAAAUCUUGCUGCCAAAUUGCCAUCAGAUAUGCGACAAAGCCUACUGUUAAACAAGUUGCUGCAGAUUUGUAGUAAAAACCGCACAGAGCCUGCAGCCUUUUGACAAAUUGGCGCCAGAGAUCGAGUAAAUCUUGAUGUGUUGCAAGACUUACGCAGUUUUUGCUGCAAAUUUGCUACAAGUUACUCAACAGCUUAAAAGUCGGAAUACAUUUUUCUUUCACACCGUAUAUUUUUCUACGAUUUAGGAACUCUCGAAAUACGUACUUUAAGAUUUUUGAGCUGUACCUUCUUAGCAAAAAAUGCACAUAAUGUAUCCAAAGCUCAGGACGGAAGUAUGUUUAAAAACCGGAAUAUAUGUUCCUUUACUACAGCAUAUUAAUUACUGAUAUAUAAGCUCGCAAUAUAGGUACCUUAUAAUUAUUUAUUUGUAGCUUCUUUGAUGAAAAUUCACAUUGUAAAUUUACAAUAUGUGUAUGUUUUUGCCAAGGAUGUGCAGUUCAAAACUCGUAUAAUACGUAUCUCGAGAGAUAUAGUUUAGCAGCAAGAUUUGAUAAAACAGAUCCUGUGUCAAUUCUGAUGGCAUUCUAUCGACAAAAAGUGCUGCAAGAUAUUUAUACUGCACGUUUGUCAAGAUAUGCUUUGGAUAUUCUUGGCUAUUAGGGUGACUUAUGGCAGCUAAAUAAUUAACAACACCAAAGUUUUAGUUGCUACAACAUAUUUUCAGCUAAUCCCCGAUUAACUGCAGUCUUGAAAUAAUUUUUUUCCGUGCAGGUAACAUUCAAAAUUUAUUUUGUUUGAUGUUUCAUGUAUGUUUUCGUACAAUUUAUUUUAUUUGUACAUGAAACUUAUAGUCUUGAACUUGUGUAAUUGGGUUUUUAAAUCGUAUUUCAAAGAUAAGCAGUUAUUAUCUUUGAAAUACGAUUUAAAAACCCAAUCGCACAAAUUCAAAAUCUGGAUUUCAAUUUAAACAAGAAUUCAAAUGUUUAUUUUGAUAAAAAUAUUUUGUUAAUUACCAAUGAACUAAAGUAACAGCACAGGUAAUUAUCAAGACUGCUAUAAAAAAUAUCAAAAUUGGGAAAAGAUCUUUUAUAGAAAAUUUCCAUUCAUUUAAGAAAUAAUCGAUUUAAUCAAAAGGUAAUCUAUUGUAAUUUAUAACAAUUAUACAAAAUUGCUUAUUAAUUUGCUUACGUUUUGUCUUUCCUUUCUCCUCCCUUUUUUGUCUUCUCUCUCUCUCUCUCUCUCUCUCUCCCUCUCUCCCUUCCUUAACUUCCUUAAGGGGGAAGUCUACUGUAAAAUUUUCAAAAAAUCAAUUUUUUGUUUAUUGGCUUAAAAAAUACUUUGAACCCUCUAAAAUAAGGUACAUUAGGUGUUAUAGCCGGCUAAAUUUUUCUUCAUUGAAAUUUCGACCUUUUACCGAAGCGCUCCGAAACGCGUACCUGCGGCAAAUUCCUAUCUGUUCGGCAGGUACAGCGUAGUGACUUGCAAUUCAAUUUCUAACAUUUCUAAUACUCCAAGUCGAUCAACAGAUGUCACUAGGUAUAUUUUAUAGUCAGUUAGAAGCGAUUUCAACAGUAAGGACGCCGGUAGUGCGUAAUUUUAAGGGCCAGUGUGUCGAACAGCUGUGAUCGUUUCGGCGUUUCCCGCGUGGCUAACGUAUAGUUUUUAUACUUUUAUCAAAAUGAAGCCUGCUUCUUUCGACCGAAAGGGUUCACGCGAAACUCCCGGACGACCUUCACGACGUAGGAAAAGACCGUCGCCACCAAAUCGCCAUACGAUGGAGAAUGAAACGGAAUCGACAAGUUCUUCCGCGAAAAAAUUAAGAACGAAAUCGGUGGAAGUGGAAAUUAAUAAUGGCUAUGGAUACCGUUUGAUUGAAUUUUUAUUCUUGUUUCAAACGCUGAGGAUAUACACAGAACAGCAACGAGAGCCUGAAUGCGAUGAUCUGGUCGUUAGCUCCGAAACAAACAUUCAGCGGCGCAAAAACCGUCGAUAUUGCGUCGUAUUGUGCUGCGAGCAUUUUCAAUAAAGGCUACUCCAGUAUCCUCAAAAUGAUGGACGUUAUGAACAUCAAAAUUGGACCAAACGCCUUCAAUUUAUGCAACACCGUGGACGAGCGCAGAAUAUCACAAGCAAACGAACGGUCGUUCGACGCUUCAAAAGAAGGGAGAAUCGAGAGAAGAACGGCGCGAUCGGCACUCGAAGAGGAUUUCCUUGAACAAGAAGGUGUACUAUAUGAAGCAGGAAUGGGCGAUUAAUGAUCACCCAGACGUGAGAUUUCAUGUACACCGUUUGGGCACCUAAAAAAAACGGACCUGCGCUUGAAGGAGUGCCACGACGGCAAUUUUGAAUAUUUCGACUUGAAAAUUUUUUUACAAAUACUUGAAUAUAUAAUAAAGAUGACGGUUUAAUUUAA